rnacentral:snRNA from 1 species
GUGCUCGCUUUGGCAGCACAUGUACUAAAAUUGGAACAACACAGAGAAGAUUAGCAUGGCCCCUGCACAAGGAUGACAUGCAAAUUUGGGAAGUGUUGCACAUUUUU